CCAAAAUGUUUUCAAAAUUACACCAAGCAACUGAUAAGGCCUAAAGGAUUUCUUUUGGGAGCCAGAAACAACCUGCUUUUCUGUGUGUGUUUCAGGAGCCACGUGAACAUGGUGGGGCAAAGCUCCUCUUCUAAAGUUCAAGCUCUUUACGAUCUCUGCACGACCACCUUCACGCCUUCGGGAAUUCCUCCUUCUUCCCCAGCUAUCCACAAGCUCUGCUCUCUUUUGGACACAGUCCACCCUGUUGAUGUAGGGCUUAAAGAGGAAAAUCCAGAUGAUGAUCGGGGCCAUGGCUUUUUCGGACUGAACCGA
rnacentral:misc_RNA from 1 species